rnacentral:lncRNA from 1 species
CUUUGACAUUUAUAUGUUUUUGGUUUGAGGAAAUUUAUGUGCAGGUUAUGAAGGAAUUGACAUUAUUGUGCCAAGGCCUGGAAUGAAGUUCAAAGACGAAAAUGAAAAUUUUGAAUUUUACAAGAAGUAUGCAUACCAAGUCGGGAUUCCUGUCAGAAAAAGAAAUUCAAGGAAGGGUGAAGACGGGAUAGUACGAUAUGUAUGCUUCACAUGUAGUCAAGAAGGACGACGAACCACUGCUACGAGUUCUUCUUUAAAUCCUCAGCCAACAAUCCAAACUGGAGCCAACAAUCCAAACUGAAUAUAAAGCGAGGGUGACAGCAUGUUCGGAGAUAGGUGGAACAUGGCAUAUUAACACUAUCUAUCUCGAGCACAAUCAUAGAACAAGCCCAUCUAAAUCGAGGUUAUAUCUGUAAUAGUGUUGGCAUCAGAAGACAGCUUGAAAUAAAUGACAUUGCUGAAAUUCCAUUGCACAAAAGCUUUAACUCCGUUGUAGUUGAAGCUGGUGGAUAUGACAAGAUGGCGUGCGUUGAAAAAGAUUGUAGAAAUUUUACUGACAAAGGGCGACGGUUAAGGCUUGGUGAGGGAGACGCCACUGCAAUUCAAGCCUUUUUCUCAAGAAUGCAAACAAGUACUCCUGGCUUUUAUUUUAGUAUAGAUUUGGAUGAAGAUUGUCGGUUGAGGAAUGUGUUUUGGGCGGAUAACAGAUGCAGAGAAGCUUAUAAGGAAUUUGGUUAUGUGGUCACUUUUGACACCACAUACUUGACCAACAAGUACGAUAUGCCCUUCACUCCAUUUGUUGGAGUUAAUCAUCACGGCCAAUCAACACUUCUUGGAUGCGGCCUAAUUUCGAAUGAAGAUUAUUGGACUUUUGUAUGGUUGUUUAAGACAUGGUUGGAAUGCAUGCACGGUCAAGCUCCAAAUGGAAUUAUAACGAAUCAAGAUCGGGCUAUGCAAAAUGCAAUUGAGAUCGUCUUCCCAAAUACGAGACACAGAUAGUGUUUGUGACAUAUUUUAAAUAAGUUGCUAGAAAACUUUGGCAACCAUAGGUACAAAAAUUCUAUUCUUUCUAGUGUACACGGGUUGGUGUAUGAUACACAAAGUCCUCCAGAGUUUGAGGAAAAAUAGCAUACGAUGCUUGUACGUUAUGAAUUGCAAGAACAUGGUUGGUUGAUUGGACUUUACAAUGAUAGAAGGUGUUGGGUGCCAUGUUAUUUGAAAAAUUCAUUUUGGGCUGGUAUGUCGACCAUCCAAUGAAGCGAGGGCAUAAAUGCCUUUUUUGAUGGAAAUGUUCAUUCAAAAACUUCUCUGAAGCAAUUUGUAGAACAAUAUGAGCGGGCAUUGAGAAGUAAAGUUGAAAAAGAGUUUCAAACUGAUUUCAAAUCAUUUUCACAGAUGGUCCCUUGUGCAACAAGGUAUGAUAUGGAGAAACAGUUUCCAUCAGUGUACACGAUCUUUAAGUUCAAAGAGUUCCAGCAAGAGUUUACGGGGAAGGUGUAUUAUGAGAUCUUAUCUGUGACGGACUCAUAUUUUACUCCACUUACGAGGUUCGUGAGGAUAUCAUUAGCAAUGAAGGCAUGAAGAAACAAAUUUUUACAGUUUCAUUUCGUAGGGAAAAUUGUGAAUUUGAAUGUAGUUGCCACUUAUUUGAGUUUAGAGGAAUUAUUUGCAAGCAUGCAAUCUCAGUUUUAAUCGGUAACGAUGUGGUGUUAAUUUCGGAGAGAUAUAUAUUGAAGAGGUGGAGACGAGAUGUGAACCGACCUUACAUGAGGGUUCCCGUCAAAUAUGAUGGUUUUGUCAAUAGCGCCAAGCAGGUUAGAUAUGAGCAACUAUGCAAUACGUUUACCAAGUUAGCAGAUGUGAUAGUACAUGACGAACAACGAUGUAGGAGAAUUAUGGAUUUGAUCAUGUUCGAAACAACAGAAGCAUGUUAGUCGAAGGGUAUUAAUGUGGGCUCUCAAUGUGUUGACUCGGUAGCAUGUGCUAGCAGAAGCAUAUUGGAUCCAAAGUACACGAAACGUAAAGGAGUCCCUAGAAAACUUCGUAGAAAGGGCCAUCUAGAAACUAGUUCGAGUAAAUCUAAAAGUUCUCGAAAGAUAUGAAAUUCAUUCAAGCUUUGCAACAUACUUUUAGCUUGCAAAGUUGUUGAAAUUUUUUUCCCAUGUUAUACAGGUGCCCAUGUGUAAAAGACAGAACAAAGGAGUUUCAUCCACGUUCACCACUGAAGAUGUUGGGACACGGGAUAGCUUUGAAGUGUUGUGAUGGAAAUCAAUAAAUAGCUACAGGAUUUCUUUUGGGGGGCAAAAGAUGAUGAUGUGCAAUGUAGACAAAUCCGGUUAUGUGAAUUUAUGUACGAUAUUAAUUAUCAAUUGUAUAAGUUUUUGGGUUCUUCUUAGGCGUUAUGUAAGUUUUUGGGGCUAAAGAUGAUGUUGGGGGGCUGAAUAUUAUUAUAAAUUUUUGCUCUCUUUUUCCCCCCAUGAAAUUUGUACUUGGAAGACUUGCCCACAUGACUUGACUUUAAUGCAAUAAAUUAUGGG